rnacentral:rRNA from 1 species
GACGAACGCUGGCGGCGUGCUUAACACAUGCAAGUCGAACGGAAAGGCUCCAGCUUGCUGGAGUACUCGAGUGGCGAACGGGUGAGUAACAAGUGGGUGAUCUGCCCUGCACUUCGGGAUAAGCCUGGGAAACUGGGUCUAAUACCGGAUAGGACCGCACUUUGGUGUCUGUGGUGGACAGGUUUUUCUGGUGUGGGCUGAGCUCGCGGCCUAUCAGUUUGUUGGUGGGGUAAUGGCCUACCAAGACGGCGACGGGUAGCCGGCCUGAGAGGGUGGACGGUCACAUUGGGACUGAGAUACGGCCCAGACUCCUACGGGAGGCAGCAGUGGGGAAUAUUGCACAAUGGGGGAAACCCUGAUGCAGCGCCGCCGCGUGGGGGAUGAAGGCCUUCGGGUUGUAAACUCCUUUCGCUAGGGACGAAGCUUUUUGUGACGGUACCUGGAGAAGAAGCACCGGCUAACUACGUG